rnacentral:rRNA from 1 species
GACGAACGCUGGCGGCGUGCUUAACACAUGCAAGUCGAGCGGUAAGGCCCUUUCGGGGGUACACGAGCGGCGAACGGGUGAGUAACACGUGGGUGACCUGCCUUUAGCUCUGGGAUAAGCCUGGGAAACUGGGUCUAAUACCGGAUAUGACCCUAUGGCGCAUGUUGUGGGGUGGAAAGCCUUGUGCGGCUAGGGAUGGGCCCGCGGCCUAUCAGCUUGUUGGUGGGGUGAUGGCCUACCAAGGCGACGACGGGUAGCCGGCCUGAGAGGGCGACCGGCCACACUGGGACUGAGACACGGCCCAGACUCCUACGGGAGGCAGCAGUGGGGAAUCUUGCGCAAUGGGCGAAAGCCUGACGCAGCGACGCCGCGUGAGGGAUGACGGCCUCGGUUGUAACGUACUU